GGCAGAGCACAGACUGUAAAGAAAGGAGCCGAGGAGGUGGGCGAAUCUCUGCAGCCUGGAAGGGGAGGCAGAACCCAGAACCAAAGCCACCGCUGAGCACUGCGACGGUGCCCUGCCCACGUCUUGAGGCAGGAAUUGAGUGUCAGCUGCUACCCACACCACAAAAGCACCCUGCUUCCAUGUGGAGUCCGAGGUAGAUACAAAUGAUGCCAGCAAGGAUUUGACUCACGAGCUCUCCAGUUUCGUCUUGCAGACUUUGAAGCACCUUGCACAAGUAAAAGGAGAUGCGUGUAAGGGGGAAGCCGUCUCUUUACCUAGAAGGCCUUCAGCACUGUGACACAGCAUGCCUCAGGUGCCAAGUUCACCGUCACCACCACUUUGCCACUGCUGCCACUACGAUCUCCGUCACCACUGCCAGCAUGACCACAGCUACAACUAAUCUUUAAAGCACUAAAAUAAAUACUUCACUCUAUUGGAAUAUCAUAUUAAAGAUUUAUAAGCACCUUGCACAGUAUUAGGAGAA